rnacentral:rRNA from 1 species
UACAGAGGUGGCAAGCGUUGUUCGGAAUUACUGGGCGUAAAGGGCGCGUAGGUGGCCAUCUAAGUCAGACGUGAAAUCCCCCGGCUUAACCUGGGAACUGCGUCUGAUACUGGACGGCUUGAGUAUGGGAGAGGAAUGUAGAAUUCCAGGUGUAGCGGUCAAAUGCGUAGAUAUCUGGAGGAAUACCGGUGGAGAAGGCGGCAUUCUGGACCAUUACUGACACUGAAUCGCGAAAGCUAGGGGAGCAAACGGG